rnacentral:rRNA from 1 species
GAUGAACGCUGGCGGCGUGCCUAAUACAUGCAAGUCGAGCGAACGGACGAGAAGCUUGCUUCUCUGAUGUUAGCGGCGGACGGGUGAGUAACACGUGGAUAACCUACCUAUAAGACUGGGAUAACUUCGGGAAACCGGAGCUAAUACCGGAUAAUAUUUUGAACCGCAUGGUUCAAAAGUGAAAGACGGUCUUGCUGUCACUUAUAGAUGGAUCCGCGCUGCAUAAGCUAGUUGGUAAGGUAACGGCUUACCAAGGCAACGAUGCAUAGCCGACCUGAGAGGGUGAUCGGCCAUACUGGAACUGAGACACGGUCCAGACUCCUACGGGAGGCAGCAGUAGGGAAUCUUCCGCAAUGGGCGAAAGCCUGACGGAGCAACGCCGCGUGAGUGAUGAAGGUCUUCGGAUCGUAAAACUCUGUUAUUAGGGAAGAACAUAUGUGUAAGUAACUGUGCACAUCUUGACGGUACCUAAUCAGAAAGCCACGGCUAACUACGUG